rnacentral:rRNA from 1 species
UACGAAGGGGACUAGCGUUGUUCGGAAUCACUGGGCGUAAAGCGCACGUAGGCGGAUUCGUAAGUCAGGGGUGAAAUCCCGGGGCUCAACCCUCGGAACUGCCUUUGAUACUGCGGAUCUUGAGUCCGAUAGAGGUGGGUGGAAUUCCUAGUGUAGAGGUGAAAUGCGCAGAUAUCAGGAAGAACACCAAUGGCGAAAGCAGCUUCUGGGACGGUACUGACGCUGAGACGCGAAAGCGUGGGGAGCGAACAGG